GGUUGAUAGGUGCGAAAAUGAUUACGAAACUGUUUUUCUUUUGAUUUUUGGGUUAAUCUCCUCUUGUUUCUGAACCUGGGAUUUUUACUGAGUGUAGGGCUUGUCGUAGUGCAACUUUUGGCUUUGGUUUCACUAUUUUUGGGUUUAAGAUGAGUGAGUUAUGAUUUUUCAAUCAAUUUUACUUAUUUUCGUGUAGAAUCUGACAGCACCGGCAGACUUUGGUAAAAUGGCCAUAACUUUUAGCUCGGGACUCGAAAUGAUGCACCAUUUGUUUUGUUAGAAACUAGACAUAUAAAGCUUUCCAACGAUGCAUCCCAUGCAUCAUGGGUAUGUCCGAGCGAUAACAGAUUUGCACACAAAACUGACCCAAAUUCUGCUUUGCACCAGUUUCACUGCUACGCUGAGCUAUAAUCGCUAGGCCAUAGUAAGGUUAUCCGAACUCCGUUUUUGAUGCAUGACCUAUGGAUCGAAGAAAAAGAAGUAUACUUUUCAAUGGUUCAAGUGUCGUCCUUAAAUUAACGUUGUUUAAUUGGAUAUAGUCUAAUGUAAAGGAUUAACUUUGCCAAUUUGACAUGUGGGGAUACAAUGGAUUGAUUUAGAUGAUUAGGUGUUGGAUUAAAGAGAACUUGUGGUGUGUAAGAGAUAUGCAUUGUUGGUGUAUUGAUCAUAAAUAGAAUCAUUGAGUAUUGUCUAAACAUGUUUCCAUUUGAUUGAAUGUUUUAGGAAGUUCGAGUCGUCACGUGGAUCGAGGUGAGUGAUUUAAUACUUAAACACAUGGUUUUGAACUUGUUUUCCUUAUCAAGCUUAUUUGAACAUGUUUUAUAAAGUAUGUACUCCAUGGAUAACAAUGAAAGGUGGACUUAUUUGUGAAAUAUUUGCGAAUCUAUUUAAUGGCAUUCCCAACGUCCGGUCUUGCUAGGGGACGGCUUAAUGGCUAGCAAGGGUGUUUGAGGUUGGUAUGUGUUUUGGGAUAAUGCGUAGACGUCUGGCUUAUCCACUACCGGGGACGCCUGGUAGCUUUGAAUUUUGAAUAGCGGAAUGUGCAUUAUAUUUGGCUUAUAGUUUUGAGUUCUUUGUUUUGAAAUAUUAUCAAAUUAUUUUGCAUUGUCCAUGGAAGGCAUGUGAGUUAAGUAUUAAUCAUUCACACGAGCUUUGGCUUAAGUAUUUUCUUUUCCACCUUUCAGGAAGCGACGCGUAGUGUGGCAGAGUGUUUACUUUAGUUUGUAAAUUUGUAGGUAAGCACAGCUCUGAGAGGUUUAUCCUUUUGGUUUGUAAACCUAUGUAAGACUUUGGUUUGUUAUCAAUAAAAGUUAACUUUUGCUUCCGCUGUUAUGUUUAGCCCCUUUUGAUCAUCGCUUGCUUAGAUGAUAUUUGAUUUGUGAUUUGGCCUUAGUGAGAAAUCACUGGCAUUUGUCAUGAUUAAGACCUCGAGGGGCGGGUCAGGGUUGUGACAAAGUUUUUGGUAUCAGAGCAUGGUCCGACCGAAAGUGUGGAGGUUCACAUCGCUAGGGACACAUCCUUGGGAUUUAUAGAACCUCAAUAGAGUUUGAAAUGGAAACAUAGUCUCGAUGUAAAGUAUUUAGGAUGGUUCCAAAGGUUAUUCGAAGGGAUUGUUUAUUUUGACCGGAGCACUAUUUAUGACUACACUUACACUUACCCUCAGAGCUAUAGGAUGAACUCCUGUAACUGAAAAUUGAAUGCUUUGUGAUUAUGUGUAUCUUUAGCGACUAUGUGCUGUGUUGUGUUUUACUAGUAAAUGGUGAAACUAAAGGUAUUGAGAUAUUAAGUUAUAUACCUUGAUGUAUAUGUGGUAUAUUUCUUUUUAGUUUUGAAUGUCGAAAAAGAAAUGUGUUUUGUGUAUCAUUGAUUGGCAUAUGCGAGUUAAGGUGGAUAAAUCAAUUCCUAAAGAUGUACAUGGGGUUAAUUUAGAGCAAAUAGGUAUACCUUACCUAUGUAGUUAUCUGAUUGGUAUAAAAUGUUUUUGUCUUUGUACAUCUUUGUAUAUGUUCUUGCUUUUAACUAGUCGUAACCAUACUACUUGACCUUUUAAAUUGCCUGAAUUUCACAUGUGUUCUAUUUUAGGAACAUUGGGUAUGGAAAUAGGAGAGCAGAAUGUGAUGGUCGAUUUUAUUGUGCUAUUUAAGAGGAUAAGCUUAAAUUUACAAUGCAUUGAUAUGUGUGCGUGCUAAGUGAUGUGUUGGUUGUUAAAGGUGAAUGUAUAUGGCGAAAGGUGAAAUGCGUUCUUAAGACUUUGGGAAUCUAUCUCCGGAUAUUCAAUUUGAAGUGCGACUGGCCACCGCAGCUUUAUGAUUGGAUAUCUAGAAUAGAAGCCCUUAAACAAGAUUAAAAAAAAAAAAGAAGAGAAGAUUCGUACCCUACGAAGGAACUGAAUAUUGAUAGUUCACGUGUCAUUAUAGUUAAAGAUUUAUACUUGCUUGUUGAUCUUAUAUUUUGAAAUAUGGGACUAUUUUGGUGUGAAGAUUUCAAUAGCAAAAAGAAGAAAACAUAUCACUUUGGACCUUGUUGCUAUAUAGGAUACGAAUAAGCAAAAUGCUACUCGAUUUCUUUUAAUAUGAAGUAAACGAUUUAACUAUGAUGACUUCUCUCUAAAAAUUAGCUUAUUAAUUUGUUUGAGCAUAAUUAUGAAGAGUAUGCAUGUCCUCUUAUCAUUGCUUGAUGGGUCUACUGUGAAUAUUGUUUUUAUGUUCUAUAAAAAUUGGUGAAAUUAUAAAUGGAUAGGUAGGAAAAGAUGAUGUUAAUGACUUUUAGAGACUUGACUUGUUAUCAUAAUAUGUUAUAGAUUGUCAUAUUUGGAGUUGCUAGAAUUGAACUGUUUGUUUUGCUCUUUGUGUAGCUCUAGAUGUUGAUGUUCUAUUAGAAUAGGAGUAGAAUGUUUCGGAAACAAUUAGUGUCGUUGGGACUUAUCUAUUUCUGUGUAACUAGAAUCGGUAGUUAGGUUAGGAGGACAUGGGAAUCUAAAAUGUCUCCAAGAGUAUUUGAACCAUACAAGAUUCGCUUUAUAUAUAGAGAUACAAAAAGUUGGACAAUAAGCUUUGACAGACUAAAUCACAGUUUGCUGCUAAAGUUAUAAUUGGGUGGAUUAAUAGGAACUGAAAAGGUGAAGUGGGAGCAUAAGUGGAAGGGAACACAUUAGACUUACACGCUGACAUAAUAUGAUGCAACAUUGUUUGUUAGUUUUGACCAAAAAAAAAAAAGAACUGUCUCAUCCAUGUUUAGAGUUAAUAUGUAAUGACGGUUACGCAUAAUAUGACUUGUAUAUAUUGUUUUGAGAUCAAAUCGUAUGGUUGUCGAAAAACUAGAUUGGAAAUCCUUAACAAAUUUGAGAUACUUCUUACUUUCUAAUAAUCUUGAGCUAUGAAGAAGAAAAAGAACCUUUUUGCUUCCUGUUGUUGAAUUACUUAUCUGAUGUGAAUACAUGAAGCAAUCCGGUAAAAUAACGCCGUCAAUUAUUAUGACGUACCAAGGGGAAAAAAAAAAAAAAUGAAAUUUUGUUGUAAGUUCAAACUGUAUCUUCUGUUAUGAAAUCCUAUUGGGAUAUGAUGAACAUUAUUAAUCUAAUUCAUUUUUGGUAAAGAAGAUCACAGCUGAACUGUAUUUUGCAUCAUGCCGUGGGAAUUGGAUUAACUUCCUAAAGGUUCGACUCCUAAUAUUGUAGAGUGUAAUUCUGCAUGUGUUUGGAAUCUUUGGAAUAAAUGCAUAAAAUUAUGGUAUUGAAUUGUGGACUGGUAUAACCUUUCAAUUAUUAAACUGUUGGGUAACACACCUUAUAGAUCUAAGUCCUAAUAGAUGGGAUAUUGCUUCCGUUUAUAACUUUCUGUUUUGCACAUUGUAUACUCCAUUGAGCGACUUUUCCAUAGUACCUUCACUAGUAGAAAGGUUACCUGAACUUCAUUUUUGUUGUGUGACCUAUCAAAAAAAAAAAAAAAAAAGGAAAAGAAGGAAGAAAAUAAAUUUACUUCCCAAUGGUUUAAGUGUAUCACUGAAUAUAUGUUAUUCCCUCACGUAUGAUCAGAACUGUAUCUUAUGGUCAUGAAUUAAAAUCUCAAAUUUUGGAAAUUUUUGCAUCUAAUCACUUCGAGUCAUUUUUGGAGUAUUGAGGCAUAUUAUCCUUUAAUCUUAUUGCAUUGGUUGCAUUUGGUUCUCUAUUAGAGAUAGAGAAUAAGAAUUGGGAACAAAUUUUAGACAUGUUAAUACAGUAUAUUUGCAAUUCUCCACCUCCGAUUGAGAAGGGGGCUUUCCGCUUGUGUUCUUAUUGGUUUUGUAAAGGUUGGGGUAUAUCUUUGAAGUGGAAUUCGUAGCAUACAGACUCGUUUGGACGCAUAACUCAUCUGGUGUAGCUUCUUAUGUAUGUUUAUUUUAAAAGCUGACUGUAAUCUACUUAGUUGACUUGUCUUGUAUUAGUAGAGAAAACCUUAACAAGAAUGAUAAUUUUCAUUUAGACAGAAGGUGUUAACCUUUCUGGAGUGGAGUAUUGCAGAUUUACAAGAUAGGGAUCCAUAGUUUGGAGGACAUGUUUUGUGUUUCCAUUUUAGAUUUCAAAGGAAAUUGGUGGACACUUGCUUUAGUGUCGAGUUUUAUACCUUUUAUAAUUUUCAGCUAGUAUCGGAAUAGCGUCUCUUUGGAAUGAUAAGAAGUAUUAAAGAUGUUAGUUCCCAGUUAGCUUUGUCACUAGAACUGUCCUAUAUACACGAUGUUUUACACGUAGAUGUUCCAAGAUAUUUUCUCCAAGAUUUGUUACAUGAUUACUAUAAGAAUCCUUCAAUUAGAUUCCAAGAAAAAUAUGAAUUCCCGAGAGCGAUCCGCUGAGAUCAUUAAGCGAGGAGAAAGAGGUUGUGACAAGCAUGCAUGUUUAAGUGACUUCACUUUGUCUUCUAUGAAUAUGUGAGAGUGAAGUAAAAUGGUCAAACACAUUUGAAAUUAAAAUGCCUUCUAUUACUUUCAUGAGAUUAAGUUGAUACGUAUAGCCUUGAUGUUAAGUGAUGUUAGAGUGUGAUUUGAUGAUAUCGUUUGAUUAACUAGAACUCUAGUAUGAAUUGGUGGUUGAUUUUAGUCUCAUGACGAUUCUGCGCGGAAGAAAAUGUUGAAAUGAAAAGUUGUGCCUUGAAAGGAAAGAGUGGAUAUAUGGGGAUGUGAUGAGGUUAUUCUAAUGUGAGAAUUUGAAAUUGCAAAAGAAAUGAAACGAGAAAAGAUGAAAUAGAAAGAAGUAUUUGGACUUAUCGUCGUCGUGAUUGAUAUAAGUUUCUUGAAUCUGGGUUCCGUGGUGUAGACUCGUUGUGUUAUCUUGCCUGGUGUGUUGUUACAUAUCUAAAUUGUUGCAUGAAUUAGUUAAUUUGGUUUAUCAAAUUUCGAGGACGAAAUUUUUUUAAGGAGGGUAGAUUGUAGAGACCCAUAAUUAUUUUCUCAAAUUUUAAAUGUUUAAUAUGUAUUUGGAUUAUCGAAAUAUGGAUAAUGCAGAAGAUAUGAGUUGGGUCAAUGUGAGAUGACUUGUAAGUUGUGGGAGUUGAUGAUGUAGUUAUAUACUUGAAGGGUGUGUGUGUGAAUUGGCCUAUAUAAGGAUCAAAAUAUCAGGGAAGAUUAUUUUCUUCCCCCGUACGCCUCUCUCUCUCCCGUUCUCUCCUCUCUCUCGGCUCUCACCUCUCUCACCUUCUCUCUUCGAUUUCAUCGACCGCGAGUGAGACUUUUGAAAAAUAUCAAGUACUAAAGUUGUUCUUUGCGACGAGAGCUUUCUAUCCAUCCAAGAAAAUUCACGAUAGGAGCACUUCGAAGUUUCCUCCAUGUUCGGGCUUGCUUCUAACCUUCGAGGUAGGGAUCUCCUGCCUUCUUUACAUGUUUAAGUGUUGGUUAGAUGUAUAAGAAUCAAGUUUGAUCAUCUAUUUGAGUCUUGAAUAAACCUAUCGUAUGCUGAAAAUUUCGUGGGUUCUGGUAAUCUGUCUUUUUGGAGCCUUUCUGCUAGGAAUUAAUUUUUGGUGCCUUCAUAACUGUUAAAGUACGUUUUAAUACGAAGAUUUCGGUACCAAGAUCAUGCAAAACCGAUAAUCACAUAAUUAGUUAUGAAUUUUUGAAUAUCGGCUGUUUUCUGUAUACGCGAAUCUGUGCGUGGCUGUCUUCUUUUAAUUUUCUGGGCGUGACGAACAUUUUGGGUAGCUUUGGGUCUUUUACAGGAGCUGCAUAUUUAAGUUAAGAAGAGAUUGGCAUUGGAAUCAAGUAAUUUGGUUAAGUAUACAAUUUUUGGUGAAUUUCUAAAGUAGGGUUGGUUGAUAGGUGCGAAAAUGAUUACGAAACUGUUUUUCUUUUGAUUUUUGGGUUAAUCUCCUCUUGUUUCUGAACCUGGGAUUUUUACUGAGUGUAGGGCUUGUCGUAGUGCAACUUUUGGCUUUGGUUUCACUAUUUUUGGGUUUAAGAUGAGUGAGUUAUGAUUUUUCAAUCAAUUUUACUUAUUUUCGUGUAGAAUCUGACAGCACCGGCAGACUUUGGUAAAAUGGCCAUAACUUUUAGCUCGGGACUCGAAAUGAUGCACCAUUUGUUUUGUUAGAAACUAGACAUAUAAAGCUUUCCAACGAUGCAUCCCAUGCAUCAUGGGUAUGUCCGAGCGAUAACAGAUUUGCACACAAAACUGACCCAAAUUCUGCUUUGCACCAGUUUCACUGCUACGCUGAGCUAUAAUCGCUAGGCCAUAGUAAGGUUAUCCGAACUCCGUUUUUGAUGCAUGACCUAUGGAUCGAAGAAAAAGAAGUAUACUUUUCAAUGGUUCAAGUGUCGUCCUUAAAUUAACGUUGUUUAAUUGGAUAUAGUCUAAUGUAAAGGAUUAACUUUGCCAAUUUGACAUGUGGGGAUACAAUGGAUUGAUUUAGAUGAUUAGGUGUUGGAUUAAAGAGAACUUGUGGUGUGUAAGAGAUAUGCAUUGUUGGUGUAUUGAUCAUAAAUAGAAUCAUUGAGUAUUGUCUAAACAUGUUUCCAUUUGAUUGAAUGUUUUAGGAAGUUCGAGUCGUCACGUGGAUCGAGGUGAGUGAUUUAAUACUUAAACACAUGGUUUUGAACUUGUUUUCCUUAUCAAGCUUAUUUGAACAUGUUUUAUAAAGUAUGUACUCCAUGGAUAACAAUGAAAGGUGGACUUAUUUGUGAAAUAUUUGCGAAUCUAUUUAAUGGCAUUCCCAACGUCCGGUCUUGCUAGGGGACGGCUUAAUGGCUAGCAAGGGUGUUUGAGGUUGGUAUGUGUUUUGGGAUAAUGCGUAGACGUCUGGCUUAUCCACUACCGGGGACGCCUGGUAGCUUUGAAUUUUGAAUAGCGGAAUGUGCAUUAUAUUUGGCUUAUAGUUUUGAGUUCUUUGUUUUGAAAUAUUAUCAAAUUAUUUUGCAUUGUCCAUGGAAGGCAUGUGAGUUAAGUAUUAAUCAUUCACACGAGCUUUGGCUUAAGUAUUUUCUUUUCCACCUUUCAGGAAGCGACGCGUAGUGUGGCAGAGUGUUUACUUUAGUUUGUAAAUUUGUAGGUAAGCACAGCUCUGAGAGGUUUAUCCUUUUGGUUUGUAAACCUAUGUAAGACUUUGGUUUGUUAUCAAUAAAAGUUAACUUUUGCUUC